UUGUGGGACUUUUUACCUUGUCCACUUUAUUUGAGUGUUUGUGUCACUGAUUGGGUUACCUGAACAAUGAGUACUUCUCAUAAUUACUCAAUAGAUGUGCUUUGUUUAUCUAUUCAGAGCUUCUCUGUUGAUUUGACAAAUGACUUUUAAUCCAAUCUGUUAGUCUUUUUAUCCCUUCUUAAAGGAAGGUGAGCGGGUUCUUUUCUGUUAUGUGUGAUCAUCAGAAUUAUUACUAUUCAUAAGCACGUAAUUAGUGUUUUUCUCUGAUGGGAAUGGAAAGCAGAGUUUCUGCUGGAGAUAAUUUCUGAUGCUGAUAUGAGUAGGAAAGAACCCAGCGCAACUCUUUGUAUACCAGCCUGAGGUCAAGACUGGAAACUGGUAAAUAAAUCUUCACCUUUAAACUGACGCUUCGUAAGCAGGAGUCAUUGAAAGAUAUCAGCAUGAGGUUUGAAAAUGUUGUUUUUUGAGUGCCAUUUGGGGAUGGGGACCACAUUUGAAAUUGAUCUCAGAGUUUAAACCAAGUAUAUUAUUUAGAAUAAAAGGUGGACCUGUGCUGUUUGAGCCUGCUACACAUUAUAUGUACUGCUGAAAUAUUCUGGAAUAUGUUUUAUUGCUCAGAAUAUUCACAUAUGUCACUUCAUGAUAAUGAUAUGCAAUAUAUUUCCUUAGAUAAGAUUAGAAUUUUUACCAUGAAACAGAUGACUACAAUAAUAAUACAGAUUAUUUAGUUUUUAUAAAAUGUUUUGGUUAUGAUGAAAAGGAGGAAACUUGGCUGCAAAACUGAGCAUUCAACUUGGUGAGAGUUUUGUGUACUUGACUCAUAUUCUUUCAGUGUCAUUAUUUUAUUUCUUUUUGAAGAGAAAAUUACAAAAAUUUAUUUGAAAAAUUCUAAAAGUUAUGUAUAUUAUAUAUGUAUAUAUAUUGUAAACAUGUAUUAAAUGUGUCUAGUAAGGGAAGACUCCAUGGGUGCAUUUUAAUGUUUUAGUAUUAAGAGUUCUCUUGAGCUUGUGUAUACAAAGGAUAAUGGUGUGAGUAUGAAAUGAAUGUUGUGUUUUUGCUUACACAAUACAAUGUGUCAUCACAGUUGUUUAAAUUGCUGUACAUAAAAACUAAUAGGCCAGCAUGCUUGUUUUUAAAGACUGUCAUUCUGAUUACAAUUGGAAUGUAAGAAGUGGCUGUUCAAAUGUGAAUUGAAAGAUGUUUCCUUCUCACUAUUGAGCUCUUGCUCAAACUGAAAAGUGAUUUUUUUUAAAAGCUGGCAAUAGCUAGAGGAUGAGGUGCCUUUAAAAAACAAAACAAAACAAAUGUAGCCUUACAAAGAGGUUGUGGAAUAUAUAUAUUUUUGUGCUUGUCUUCAUAAUUGAUGUCAAUGUCUUUUUACUGUACUUGCUCACAUACUUGUAGGACUGCAGGAUAUUGUGCAUGAGCCUGUCAGAUCUUCUGAGCAUCAUCGUAGGAGAUAAGGUUGAAAAAAUUAUUUAGGUUAUCUAGUCCAUCUGCUUGCUAAAGUGGGGUUGUAGACUUGUGCAUUCUAUUAUUGUCUUGGCCAGUGAGAUUUUCUAUGUUCUAAAACAAUUAGGCUUCCUUUUAAAGAUUAUUUCAAUUAUUACAUCUCACUGGCAGGAGGAUUUAUGUGAUAUUUAGUAGCUCUUUUUUGUAACUUCAUGCCAGUAUUCCAAGCCAUCUUUUGUGCCAUUUUACAUAUUCCUCAUAGUCUUUGGAACCUCCAUGCACACACUGGUUCCAUCUGAACAUUUUCAUUCCUUUUUGCUUUCUUCAAGCUAUGUUUUUAGCCUUUUUUUUUGCACAUUUUCUUGUUUUCAUCCUUUAAGCUCAAUUCUCCAGAUACUGGUGUCCAUACCACCAUUCCACGUGCAUUAUUUGUUUGACUUAGUCUGAGGGUCAUGUAUUAAGUCUGGUUGUUACUUGGAUGGGUUUAUCCUCUCUAACAUGAAGAUUUUGUGUAGGAAGACCAAGUUUUUGAUGUCUGACAAGCUUAAAUCAUAUUUCUUUAUUUAUGACAACUCCUUUAAAUAGCAUUUGAGCAUUGCUGCUUUUCAAGUUUCUUCUUCACUUUUAGUAUGUUAUCAUUCUUUUGCAGCUAGAGACGUAAUUCCUGUUUAAUGAUCAUCCUGGAUCUUAAAAUUUUGAACUUCUGACCUCUGAGGUUGCUAAAUUAUUUUCAUAUGUUCCCCUUUUGUGUGCAGUUCUUCCUGGUUCAGGGUAAUUAGUAAUUUUAAUUUGUCUGAUACAUAUGUUUAUUCAAAAUGUAAACCAAACUGGACCCAAGGCUUGUUCUUGGAAAACACAUUUUUCUGCAAUAUCACUAUAUAGCAUUUUACCAGUACUAUUUUUCCCAUAUCUAUUUUACAUGGUAAUUUUUUAAUGAUUAGCUCUUAUGAUUUUUUGUGUAUGUUAGCCUGUGCUAAUGAUUUUGAUUUACUAACUAAUUUAAUGGGAGAAUUUUCAGUCCUUCUGUAUGUUGAAAGUUGGUCCACUAGUUUAAAUACUUUCACUUUUACUCUAAUUUAUUUCACUGAGCUGUUUGCUUUCACAUAUUUGAUUCAGUUACCAAAACACUUGCACAGAAUUAUUUGAAGUACCUUGGAAGAAGUUCUAGAUAUAUUGUGUCACUCUUACAAAAUUAUAGUUGUCUGCAUUUGAUUUUGGGCCUCAGAGAGAGAACUUCCACAUAAAAGAUUUGCUACUUUCAUCUCAUUCUUCUUUAUUUUGAUAAAAUAUGGUCUUAGCAAAAAGCCUGUAGAACUAUAUGCCAUAUACUGUAGCCUAUUUUUUUAGGAUGUAUAUUUUCAAAUUAUGUUAUGUUAAAGCAGUCCCAUGUAAUUUGGUUGAGUAAGUGUGUGAUGUUCACCAUACAGCUUUGUGAUUAGGUCAUACAACACUGUUUUUCAGUUGUGAUUUUAAAGUAACCAGAGAUUUCUUCUUUUGAAUAAAUGUGUGAUAAAGAACUUAGUUACACCACCUUUUCAGUAUAUCUGGUGGAUCACAGAUGUGUCGCCUUUCCCUGCCUCCUUAGGUUUUAACAGUGUAAUUUUGGGGAGCAUCAAUUUCUGUAAACCCAUGUGUUCUUUGAGCAGUGUUUGAUGGGUAGAAGUGUGGAAACAAACAGUUGAAAAGAGGGCAUCACUAUCAGAUAAUAAAAUCUUGGUUUUACUAAUGCUUUUCAAGUGUUUGGAAACAUUUGCAGGUUUUAACUGUGGUUUGACAGUGUGUUGUUUGCAGACUGUCUGUCCCAGGUAUCCAAGAGCCUACUUGGUGCCUGUGUGAAAUAUCUAGUCAACCUGAGAUGCAUUAGGGAAGAAAAUGCAGCCAUUGUGGUUGUCUAGUGCUGAUAUUUGUGGUUGUUUAGUGGAAGUUGGUUUGGACUACACUGUUAGAAAUUAAGAGAUCAGAAUACAAUAGUUAACCUUUUCCACGUAGUAAAUUGGUUUGUAUAAGAUGUGGCAAUGUUUGACAUGGCAAUAUGAGUUUUCUUGGGUAGCUGCUGCUCAUGAGCAUUGUAGAGAUGCUUAAUUGUUACUAUUGAGUCACUGAGACUAUGAAAAAAAUGCUCAGAUGUUUCAGGAAGCUCCUUUUUUCCAUAAGGACUUGAAGAUGUUGAGAAUAUUUCAUCUGAAUCUGAUAACAUUUUUAGUUGAAGAGAGUUACAAUAGGUGAACAGUCUUGACUCUUUGUCAUCAGUGUCUUUAAGCUUAGAGACAAAGUUAUGGAAAUUAUUUGUCUGUAAACUGCCAGUGAAAGCCUCUGCACAUACUGAGCAGCAGAGAAACUGAUGGACAGCAGUGUUGAUCCAUUCUGUUAUGUCAGGGAUGUUUUUAAAAAAAUAACCCCUAUUGUGAAUGGUAGUCUUAAAUACAGCAGAGCAAUUGAACAAACUGCUGACGAGGGUGGGGAAGGACUAGAAUGACUCUUGUAUAAAUAGUCCUUGUUUGGGCAUAUGCUCUUGUUUAGCUGGUGGGAAUGUUACCAGGAGGGAGGAUGAUUGGAAACGUGACCUUUAAAAAAAUGUCUGUGCCUGUGCUGAUGAACAUACCUGGGCAGGUUAUCUAUCCUUUUCAUAUGUGCUUUUUAUCUUCCCUCUUAAACUUCCCUUUAGGAUACAUUUUCUGAGAAUCUUAAAAUUUCAUUUGCAGUGAGCUCUUACUUCAGGAUAAAUGUCAUAAAAGACUUCUGAUUUUUCUGGAGUGGUUUUUUGAAGGGUGAUAGAGUUUCAGCUUCAGCCCCAACCCUCUCACCACCAAAAGGCUAAUUUGUACCUCUUUACACCAGUUUAUUUAAUUUUGGUGUGUUAUCUCUUAGCCUGCCUUCUGACUUGGUUUUGCUGCUCUGUAGUCAGUUGUGAAAGCUUAUGAAUUGCUGUAUAAUUUAAGAUACUUUUGAGAAUGUGGAUUCCACUACAGAAGGCAUAAAUCCAGUUACUUUUGCCCUGCUCAUGCUACCAAGCCAUGGUAUGAUCCUGGGAGAUCACACCAGUGUUUAAACCAUACCCCAUGCAUGUGUUUCUGAGCUGCUCAAAACCUUGUAUUGACAUCCUCCAGGCCAGUCUUCUUUGAUUCCCUUAGGUUUGAAUUGCAGGCUCCCAAAUUACUUCGAGUAACUCUUGGUCCUCACACCAGAAUAUUAGACUGUGGUGUUGAGAACAUAUUUCUACAGCUGGAUUUGUACUGUUCUGAAAGAGAAAGGAUAACUUACUGCCAAGCCAACUAUUGUCAUUAUUUUUGGAUUAUUUGUGAAAAGCAGCCAAAAACAUUGUAUAAUGGAUAAAUUAUGGACUUCAAGCUGAUAUUUUUCCAUUAAGAAUUUAUUUUUUUAUGCUUCCUAUCAUCAAGAUACAGUGCUAUCGAAUGUAGCUUGUUUUCAGAUGUAUGGCUCCUAGAAUUGUUUCCUUGCAGUUGGACAUUUGCAAAUGCGCGUCAGUUUUGAAAACUGUCUCAUAUGUGUUAGCACUUCUUUUGGAAAUGCAAACUGAGCAUGUUAGCUAAUGAUUUCUUGUACCUUUAUAGUCCAAGCAGACUGAAAAGCAGUCUUGUGCUAUGUUUUCCUUGAAUAGUGCAUCUGAAAAAACUUGUUGAAGGAACUCCAUGAUGAGAUGACUUGUUGCUGUAAGGUUCUCUGUUGAUAUUUGUCAGCUUUGCAUUGUAUUUUGUAUAAUUAUCUUCAGUUAACUGUCAGGAUGAAAAAGACAAAUUUCUUUGCCAUAUGGACUGUAGCUUGGAUUUUUUUUGUUGUUGUUGUUUACAUCAAUACACUUUUUUCUGCUGAAACUUAGAGAUACCUGACAGCUCUCUUUAGGAGAAGUUACUACAGGUAAUAACCACUAAUGUUAGUAAUUACAGUGGCUUCUCUUCUGUUUUGGGUCACUUCCAUGGCAGAUUGUUGAUAUGAAAAGACGACUGUGGCUGAUACAGAAACAGCUAAAGGAAAUUAAGAUUCCCGUUCAGAACUAUGGCUAGGUUAUGAUCUUACACACCAGUUUUGAAUGACUACUUUGAAACAAUGUGGGACUUCAAGUGUCUUGCAGAAUUUUGGAUACAAAUGAGAAGUACCUACUUGCUGAGUAAUAGCCUGCUUGUCAGUUUUUUGUGUAUGGCUCAGCACAAGGCUGUGUCAGAAUUGCCAUACCACCAAAAUUAUAUUGUUUAAAUGCAACUGUUGUACAAAAGUGAAUGUUAUUUUGAGUGAGAAGUUCUGGGUUUUAAUUUAUGAAGGAAAUAGUUUUCCUGGGAGUAAGCAUCCAUAAAUGUAAUAUAUUUCAUGAUUUUGAAAAGGCUUAUUACUCAUGGGACAUGAGAAAAAUGAAAAUGAUUCAAUCUCCAAAGAUUUGUUUGAUAUUUAUUAUUACAAAUAUAAAUUUUUGCUUUAAAAGGAAAUGCUUCUUCAAAAACUUAGUAUUAAACUUCUUACUAAAACUCCGUAGUUUAACAUGCUGGAUAAAUAUCUAAAAUGGCAAAGAUAGAAAAUUCAGAGGAAGAUUAUUUUUAAAUAUGCCACUGUAAUUUUGAGCUUCUCAAGUGCAGCCCUGAAUUUUCUCUUUUUCACUGCAAUUCAUAUUUUGUGAAACUUCUUGGAUAGGUUAUAUUUAAAGCUACAUUCACUUGCCUGAAUAAGUCAAAUAAAUAUUUUGUCAUUUAAAAUUAUAUAGAUCUGCUUAUGUUAGUGUGCCAUUUAAAAUGAGACCCCAUUGAGGUAACCAUGCAGGUAUUUGUGUUGGUAUGACAGUAGUGAAGUGGGGUAUCUGUGUACUGUACCUGCAUUCUGUGCUGAGCAAAAUCACAUGGACUUCCAGAAAUAAGCAAUGGUUUUUAAGAGCAGCUUUAUUUAAUGUUGCAGCAGCAAGUGUCAUUUGUACCAUAUAAUUAUGUAAAUUGGGUGCUAAUAAAUACUAUUU
rnacentral:lncRNA from 1 species